GUUACCCAGGUAACAAGUGGUAGAAACAGGUCAAGAUGCUAGGUAGAUCAUUUUUCCUGGCUUACCACUUUUGCUACCACUUCGUGUCCCAAAGUUCCCAGUUUACCCAAUAUUUUUGUGUGGGACCCAACACUUGGAUAAGUGGUUCUACAGGAGUCUCUGGCCUGCUUUUCCUCCUCCUUAUCUGUGUUACCACUCUGGGUCUGAAAGGGUCUUCUCUGUUGAAUGUCCCUGACUGACCAGUUUCUGUUUCAGUGGCCCGUUGCCGACAAGCCCUGGUGCCGCGUGCCUUCCAUGCUUCAGCUGUGGGGCUAAGGUCUUCAGAUGAGCAGAAGCAGCAGCCUCCCAACUCAUUUUCUCAGCAGCAUUCUGAGACACAGGGGGCAGAAAAACCUGAUCCAGAGUCUUCUCAUUCACCCCCCAGGUAUACAGACCAGGGCGGCGAGGAGGAGGAGGACUA
rnacentral:lncRNA from 1 species